AAGGAUCAUUAUAGUAUUCUGUUGCCAGCGCUUAAUUGCGCGGCGACAAACCUUCUACACACACUGUUUAUUUUUCUGAGAACAUUGCUUUGGGUUGAAUUACAUUUAGCCCAGAGGUUUCUAAACACAAAGAUUUAUAUCUUUUUCUACGAACUUUUAGUCAUGAAAAUUUUUAAACAAAAAAAAAAUAUUCAAAACUUUCAACAACGGAUCUCUUGGUUCUCGCAACGAUGAAGAACGCAGCGAAUUGCGAUAAGUAUUGUGAAUUGCAGAUUUUCGUGAAUCAUCGAAUCUUUGAACGCACAUUGCACCCUCUGGUAUUCCGGAGGGUAUGCCUGUUUGAGCGUCAUUUCUCUCUCAAACCCUUGGGUUUGGUAUUGAGUGAUACUCUGUGAAAACAUGGUUAACUUGAAAUAUUUGGUGGCAAGAGUGUGCCUGUGUGUGCCUCUGAGCUUUCGACAUAAUGUAUUAGGUUCUGCCAACUCAUUAUCUAGAACUCGGACGGAUUACUCCUAGCAUUUUUGGCUCGGCCUAACAACUACUUCUUAAAGUUUGACCUCAAAUCAGGUAGGACUACCCGCUGAACUUAA
rnacentral:rRNA from 1 species